rnacentral:lncRNA from 1 species
GCGGACCCCGCCUGAGGCGAGGAGGGGAAACUCCGCGUCCCCCUCCGCCGCAUUCCAUCCGUCGGCGUCCCAUUCACUGCCCGCUCGCGAUGUGAGGACGGAAGUGUUGAGUGUGUGCGGUGCGGUGCCGUCUGCCGUCUCCUCUUCCGACCUGCAGGUAGGGAAUAGUGCUGACGGUAGCGUCAUGCGGCGAAACUGGACCCAGCAAUCAAAAAUCUCGGCUCACCAAUAAUAUGCGAUGCAAGGCACACGAACGACAUCCUCCUGUGUUCGAGUGGCUGGAUGCAGACGAAACGGCGGCCUCGACGAUAAUUGUGACGUGACGUUACGUCAACGUGUGAUGAGGUGAUGUGACUGUGACGUGUGGGUGACUCGAAAAGUAAAGGGCUGUUAAUAUGUGUUCUCAGAUUGGCAUUUUUGUGAAUAUUGAUUUUAACGUUUACGCUGGAACAUCAUUUCAUUUCACUUCAUGGAUUUCGUAUGCAUGGGUCUCGACAUCAAUAGUCAA